GGGGAUUUAGCUCAGUGGUAGAGCACUUGCCUAGCAAGCACAAGGCCCUGAGUUCAAUCCUCAGCUCCG
rnacentral:tRNA from 1 species